GCCUGUUUACCAAAAACAUCACCUCCAGCAUCCCUAGUAUUGGAGGCACUGCCUGCCCAGUGACUAAACGUUAAACGGCCGCGGUAUUCUGACCGUGCAAAGGUAGCAUAAUCAUUUGUUCUCUAAAUAAGGACUUGUAUGAAUGGCCACACGAGGGUUUUACUGUCUCUUACUUCCAAUCAGUGAAAUUGACCUCCCCGUGAAGAGGCGGGGAUAAACCAACAAGACGAGAAGACCCUAUGGAGCUUUAACUAACUAACCCAAAGAAAACAACUCAACCACCAGGGAAUAAAAUACUCCUUAUGGGUUAGCAGUUUUGGUUGGGGUGACCUCGGAGAACAAAAAAUCCUCCGAGCGAUUCUAAAGACUAGACCCACAAGUCAACUCAAAUUAUCGCUUAUUGAUCCAAAUACUUGAUCAACGGAACAAGUUACCCUAGGGAUAACAGCGCAAUCCUAUUCAAGAGUCCAUAUCGACAAUAGGGUUUACGACCUCGAUGUUGGAUCAGGACACCCCGAUGGUGCAACCGCUAUCAAAGGUUCGUUUGUUCAACGAUUAAAGUCCUACGUGAUCUGAGUUCAGACCGG
rnacentral:rRNA from 1 species